GCACGCAUCCCGACAUUUCGGCCACCGAACCCUACGUGGACCAGCGCUACACGAUGCAGGACAUGAUACGAAUCUAAUUGUAGUGUUUUACUGGUGAGUUAUGACCCGCAGGUUCCCAUCCACGGCGUGGAGCGUCAUGAGAACGAAGCGAUCACACGAGGCCCCAUCGCCCUGGGUAAGCGUUCCAUGGGUGCAGACCUCUCUCCAUGCCCAUCCACAGCUCUUCGGUUGGUGCAGGGACGGGAACGAUGAUGGCGGCUCAGCGUCCCUCUCCACAUGACGAUGUUGGCGUCGAGCUCCUCCCGUUGCCGCUCGACGAUGCUUCCUUAGUUCGAUGGGCGAGGCGGCGCAUGGGAUUUAUACAGGGGCACACGCCAAACCCUAAUAACCCGAGUGGAUCCUA
rnacentral:lncRNA from 1 species